rnacentral:rRNA from 1 species
AUGCACGCUGGCGGCGUGCCUAAUACCUGCCAGUCGAGCGAACGGACGAGAAGCUUGCUUCUCUGAUGUUAGCGGCGGACGGGUGAGUAACACGUGGAUAACCUACCUAUAAGACUGGGAUAACUUCGGGAAACCGGAGCUAAUACCGGAUAAUAUUUUGAACCGCAUGGUUCAAAAGUGAAAGACGGUCUUGCUGUCACUUAUAGAUGGAUCCGCGCUGCAUUAGCUAGUUGGUAAGGUAACGGCUUACCAAGGCAACGAUGCAUAGCCGACCUGAGAGGGUGAUCGGCCACACUGGAACUGAGACACGGUCCAGACUCCUACGGGAGGCAGCAGUAGGGAAUCUUCCGCAAUGGGCGAAAGCCUGACGGAGCAACGCCGCGUGAGUGAUGAAGGUCUUCGGAUCGUAAAACUCUGUUAUUAGGGAAGAACAUAUGUGUAAGUAACUGAGCACAUCUUGACGGUACCUAAUCAGAAAGCCACGGCUAACUACGUG